rnacentral:rRNA from 1 species
UACGGAGGGAGCUAGCGUUGUUCGGAAUUACUGGGCGUAAAGCGCGCGUAGGCGGCUGUUCAAGUCAGAGGUGAAAGCCCGGGGCUCAACCCCGGAACUGCCUUUGAGACUGCGUCGCUCGAAUCCGGGAGAGGCGGGUGGAAUUCCGAGUGUAGAGGUGAAAUUCGUAGAUAUUCGGAAGAACACCAGUGGCGAAGGCGGCUCACUGGACCGUUGUUGACGCUGAGGUGCGAAAGCGUGGGGAGCAAACAGG